rnacentral:rRNA from 1 species
AGGGUUUGAUCCUGGCUCAGAACGUACGCUGGCGGCACGCCUAACACAUGCAAGUCGAACGCAGUAGCAAUACUGAGUGGCAAACGGGUGAGUAUAAUGUGGGAAUCUGCCUUUUGGUUUGGAAUAACACGGGGAAACUUGUGCUAAUACCGAAUAAGCCCUUACGGGGAAAGUUUUAACGCCGAAAGAUGAGCCCGCACUUGAUUAGCUAGUUGGUAAGGUAAAAGCUUACCAAGGCAAUGAUCAAUAGCUGUUCUUAGAGGAAGACCAGCCACAUUGGGACUGAGACACGGCCCAGACUCCUACGGGAGGCAGCAGUGGGGAAUCUUGCACAAUGGGGGAAACCCUGAUGCAGCGAUGCCGCGUGAGUGAAGAAGGCCCUUGGGUUGUAAAACUCUUUCGUCGGGGAAGAAAAUGACUGUACCCGAAUAAGAAGGUCCGGCUAACUUCGUGCCAGCCGCCGCGGUAAUA